CCUUCAAUAGCUCAGUUGGUAGAGCGGAGGACUGUAGUAGGAAAAGUGGCAAUCCUUAGGUCGCUGGAUCAACUCCGGCUUGAAGGA
rnacentral:tRNA from 1 species